rnacentral:rRNA from 1 species
UACAGAGGGUGCAAGCGUUAAUCGGAAUUAUUGGGCGUAAAGGGCUUGUAGGUGGUUAUAUAAGUUAGGUGUGAAAACCCUGAGCUCAACCUGGGACGUGCAUCUAAUACUGUAUAGCUAGAGUAUGGUAGAGGAGAGGGGAAUUCCUGGUGUAGCAGUGAAAUGCGUAGAGAUCAGGAGGAACAUCAGUGGCGAAGGCGGCUACCUGGCCCAAUACUGACACUCAGGUGCGACAGCGUGGGGAGCAAACAGG